ACUCCAAUAUUCCACCGUCUGAGUCCUUACGCGCUUUCAACAGGUUUGCUGAGGUCUGGCAUUGAAAAGGAAUUAGGGAGUGUGGAAAAGGGACGGAGCGCCGGUUUAAUCAUGCCGUCCAGCACCAGGAGGAACCCUUCCAAUGUGGCUGCAUUGUAGACGCCUCUUUUUUCAAGCCAAGUCAAAGAUUGAUCGUCAACGGUGUUUUUCUGCAUAUACCUCAUGCAUAUGUUCACAGGUUAGUGUGUGUAUUGAGGGAUUGUGUGAGCCCGGCUGCAUCUGCCAUGUUUAUUACCUUUUGCUUUGUGGCUGCUUGCUUUGCCGCCGUGAGAUCAGACGCGUCUGUUUGAAUUUCUGUGCAGGGACGCUGUUUUUUUUUUCUUUUGUACCAGUGACUCUUUCUUGCUUUUGCAACAUCCCCAAACUCACCCUUCCCCCUCACACACAAACACACACACACACACCUCAGCAUCCCAUUUUCUUCUCCCCCUGUGAUAUUUCCUUACAGUG
ensembl:lncRNA